GAUGGGUUGGGGAGACCAAUGCAGGAACUCCGAGCUGGCUCCUGGGUAUCAGCAUAGUGAGCUGGCAGUCUGUGAGAGUGUGAGGGGGAGAGGAGAGGAGAGGAGGAGAGAGAGAGAGAGAGAGAGAGAGAGAGAGAGAGAGAGAGAGAGAGAGAGAGAGAGAGAGAGAGAGAGAGAGAGAGAGAGAACGGGAGGGUGAGAGAGGCUGGCUGCUAGAGAAGAGGAGGAGAGCAGAGGGAGAGGGGGAGCGAGCUAGCGCUCCAAGCAUGAGGACGGGCUGCUCCCGGCUCAGUUAAUCUGGCUGUCAGUCGGUGUUAACGCUGCAGUUUAACUGCUCGGCUCCCCUUCCAAGAGAAACAAGAGAAACCUCACAGAAGGAAGGGAGGAAGGAAAGAAGCAAGCAAGGAAUUGCAGGAAGAAAAGAGCCGGCAGAGCAUCCAGAAGAAUCAAAGGGAGGGGAGGGAAGACCAAAUCUAUGGUUGGACCAGGGCUUCUUUUUCGCCAAUGUAAAAAGGAAUAUGCCGUACAUCUUUGCCUUUUUCUGCACCGGUUUUCUAGGUGCGGUUGUGGGUGCCAAUUUCCCCAACAAUAUCCAGAUAGGGGGAUUAUUUCCAAACCAACAAUCACAGGAACAUGCGGCUUUUAGGUUUGCUUUGUCACAACUCACGGAGCCCCCCAAGCUGCUUCCCCAGAUCGAUAUUGUGAACAUCAGCGACAGCUUUGAGAUGACUUACCGAUUCUGUUCCCAGUUCUCCAAAGGAGUGUACGCCAUCUUUGGAUUUUAUGAACGAAGGACUGUCAACAUGCUGACCUCCUUCUGUGGGGCCCUCCAUGUGUGCUUCAUCACUCCAAGUUUUCCCGUUGACACAUCCAAUCAGUUUGUCCUUCAGCUGCGCCCGGAACUACAGGAAGCUCUCAUUAGCAUUAUCGACCAUUACAAGUGGCAGACUUUUGUCUACAUUUAUGAUGCUGACCGGGGCCUGUCAGUCCUGCAGAGAGUCUUGGAUACAGCCGCCGAGAAGAACUGGCAGGUGACGGCUGUCAACAUUCUAACAACCACGGAGGAAGGAUACCGGAUGCUCUUUCAGGACCUGGAGAAGAAAAAGGAGAGGCUGGUGGUGGUGGACUGUGAAUCAGAACGCCUCAACGCCAUCCUGGGCCAGAUUGUGAAGCUAGAAAAGAACGGCAUCGGGUACCACUACAUCCUCGCCAACCUGGGCUUCAUGGACAUUGACUUAAAUAAGUUCAAGGAGAGUGGAGCCAAUGUGACAGGUUUCCAACUGGUGAACUACACAGACACGAUCCCAGCCAGAAUCAUGCAGCAGUGGAGGACAAGUGACGCUCGGGACCACACCAGGGUGGACUGGAAGAGGCCAAAGUACACUUCUGCUCUUACCUAUGAUGGUGUGAAGGUGAUGGCGGAGGCCUUCCAGAGCCUGCGGAGGCAGAGGAUUGACAUAUCCCGGCGAGGGAAUGCUGGGGACUGUCUGGCUAACCCAGCUGUGCCCUGGGGCCAAGGGAUCGACAUCCAGAGAGCCCUGCAGCAGGUGCGCUUUGAAGGUUUGACAGGAAAUGUGCAGUUUAACGAGAAAGGGCGCCGGACCAACUACACCCUCCAUGUGAUCGAAAUGAAGCAUGAUGGAAUCCGCAAGAUUGGUUACUGGAAUGAAGAUGAUAAAUUUGUCCCCGCAGCCACGGACGCUCAGGCUGGAGGGGACAACUCAAGCGUCCAGAAUAGAACCUACAUCGUCACGACUAUCCUCGAAGAUCCUUACGUGAUGCUUAAAAAGAAUGCCAACCAAUUUGAAGGCAAUGACCGCUAUGAGGGCUACUGCGUGGAACUGGCUGCGGAGAUCGCCAAGCACGUGGGCUAUUCCUACCGACUUGAGAUUGUCAGCGACGGCAAAUACGGAGCCCGGGAUCCUGACACAAAGGCCUGGAAUGGCAUGGUGGGAGAGCUAGUCUAUGGAAGAGCAGAUGUGGCGGUGGCCCCCUUGACCAUAACCUUGGUCCGGGAGGAAGUCAUCGACUUCUCCAAGCCAUUCAUGAGUUUGGGAAUCUCCAUUAUGAUUAAGAAGCCACAGAAGUCCAAGCCAGGUGUCUUCUCCUUUCUUGACCCUUUGGCCUACGAGAUCUGGAUGUGUAUAGUGUUUGCCUACAUUGGAGUGAGCGUCGUCCUCUUCCUGGUCAGCCGUUUCAGUCCUUAUGAAUGGCACAGUGAAGAGUUUGAAGAAGGACGAGAUCAGACAACCAGUGACCAGUCAAAUGAGUUUGGCAUAUUCAACAGCCUGUGGUUCUCGCUGGGGGCCUUCAUGCAGCAAGGAUGUGACAUUUCCCCCAGGUCCCUGUCUGGACGCAUCGUCGGCGGUGUCUGGUGGUUCUUCACUUUGAUUAUCAUCUCCUCAUACACAGCCAACCUGGCUGCCUUCCUGACUGUGGAAAGGAUGGUGUCUCCCAUCGAGAGUGCAGAGGACCUGGCAAAGCAGACGGAAAUUGCUUAUGGGACAUUGGAAGCAGGAUCCACUAAGGAGUUCUUCAGGAGGUCUAAAAUCGCUGUGUUUGAGAAGAUGUGGACAUACAUGAAGUCUGCAGAACCGUCUGUGUUUGUUCGGACCACAGAGGAGGGCAUGAUCAGAGUGAGAAAGUCUAAAGGCAAAUAUGCCUACCUCCUGGAGUCCACCAUGAAUGAGUACAUUGAGCAACGCAAGCCCUGUGACACCAUGAAAGUGGGAGGUAACUUGGAUUCCAAAGGCUAUGGCAUUGCAACACCCAAGGGGUCCGCCCUGAGAAAUCCAGUAAACCUGGCAGUGUUAAAACUGAACGAGCAGGGGCUUUUGGACAAAUUGAAAAACAAAUGGUGGUACGACAAGGGCGAGUGCGGCAGCGGGGGAGGUGACUCCAAGAGGUCCCGUAAACCUAGCGGUUUUGAAACUCAGUGAGCAAGGCGUCUUAGACAAGCUGAAAAGCAAAUGGUGGUACGAUAAAGGGGAAUGUGGAAGCAAGGACUCCGGAAGUAAGGACAAGACCAGUGCUCUGAGCCUGAGCAAUGUGGCAGGCGUGUUCUACAUCCUGAUUGGAGGGCUGGGAUUGGCCAUGCUGGUUGCCUUAAUCGAGUUCUGCUACAAAUCCCGUAGCGAGUCGAAGCGGAUGAAGGGUUUCUGUUUGAUUCCACAGCAAUCCAUCAAUGAAGCCAUACGGACAUCGACCCUCCCCAGGAACAGCGGGGCAGGAGCCAGCGGAGGAAGUGGCAGUGGAGAGAAUGGCAGAGUGGUCAGCCAGGACUUCCCCAAGUCCAUGCAAUCCAUUCCCUGCAUGAGCCACAGUUCAGGGAUGCCCUUGGGAGCCACAGGAUUGUAACUGGAGCAGACAGGAAACCCUUGGGGAGCAGGCUCAGGCUUCCCCAGCCCCAUCCCAAGCCCUUCAGUGCCAAAAACAAAGAAAUGAAACACCGCCUCCAACCACCACAACCAUAUGGAGGGCAAUUCAGCCAAUGUCCCUGAAGAAUUAAAAAAAAAAAAAUUCCACUAGACCACCAUCCCUUUUGUUUUGGGAUUUUUUUUCAACCUUUUCCAUUUGCUGAGUGAAGAUGGUCACUAACUCUAUGCUGCAAUAACGGGAGAGAUCCUGUCCAAGGAAGUCUAACGUCUAUAAAAAUGGAGUCACUGGGAUAUCAAUGAAGAAAUCAAACUGUUUAAUUUUAAUUCAGUUGUUAAUGUGUCUUAGUGUGUGCAUUAUUUUCUUACUAUUAACCCAUGGUUUGCAGGCUCUGUUCAACCCUUUUCCUUCUUCCUAUCCCCAGCCCCCACCCCCACCCCACCCCUUCCCAUCACUUUUCAGUUUCAGAUUGAAGACUCACGAUUGGUUCCACCUUACAAGCAAGGAAAGGAAUAUUGACCUUCAAACUCAUUCAGUGUUGGAGCUCUCUAUGAGGCCUUCUAUCCUUUGGCCCAUGCCUUGGAUGGAGACAGACACUACUGGAGAAGGGGGCUGCCUUCCCCAGAAAGAAUACUACCUAAAUGCUGGUUCAUCAGAGAGUAACUGUGAAGAGCAUCUCAGAUAAGGGUUCUUAAAAGGGGGGAUGGGCAGAGUACAGUAGAGGAGGACUUGUUAGGUUCAUUGUUCCCCGGAAGAAGCUUCCUGCAAUGCCCAGGAGCAUCCCACAGGCAAUAGAGUACCAAUAUGGUAGACCUCUUUCACAGUCAAUCUCAGCCCUGGAAAUUAUGUUCUACUAUGCUCAGGCCCAAAGGCAAUGUGGGGGCCAAAGGGCAACUGGCCUUCUGACCCACUAGAGCCUUGCAAAGAGUUGGCAGUCAGGGGGGUGUCAUACAUGAUUCUUGCCUUUUCCUUUGCUUGAUGUCUAUACUGGAUCCCCAUGGUGGAGUAGGACUCUCUGUGGAGCCUCUGGCAUAAGAGGAAAUGUUGCCCGAGCUAAGAGCAAAAGGAAGGUGAUAGGGAAUUAUGGAAGUCCAUCCAAGCCCCUGACACAGAGCCUUCUGUGCUGUUUCCUGUCCUAGGUUUGAGAGACCAAAUAUGAACUUGUGAGUUGUGUCAAUGCAGAGAACCGGGGUUUUGUGUUAAUAGAGUAUUGUUUUAGCAUGUGAUCAGAUCUUAAGAAAGAAAGAAAGAAAGACAGCAAAGCCUGAAUUCUUUUUGAGAGAUGGAGAUGAGGUACAUCAGGGGACCUUAAGAUGCCUGAGCCCAUCUUUUAACUCUAACACAGGGAUACUAACCUUUUUCCCUGGCUAAGACAGACUGAGGGCAUUGCAUUACAAUGGCCAGAAACUACACCCAUGAGUGCAACGACCAAGGUGAAGGACAGCCAGACAGGAAAGGUGACAAAAGCCACCCUGAGUGAUACUAGGCUGCCUGAACCUUUGGGUGGGAGUGGAAGUCCCUAGCACACAGCUUUGUGGAGACCUCCACUCUCACUCUUGGUGCAACUGACUUCCACUUCUUAUGCAGCCACUCCCAGGUGCAUGCUUCAGUGAGUGCCACAUGCCACUAGCUUUUACCAAUAACCAUAUUCUGGCUUAUUCUCCUACCCUCUGCUUCCAUUCAAUCUUCCCCACUAGGGGUUAUCAUUGGCAAUGGACGAGCUGAAGAUUUUGGAGCCUAUCCAUGGUUCAGGGCAGUAGAACUGGCUUCCUCUAUGGAUGCUUCCAGCGGACAACCACCAUCUCUGUGUCUCUCUCAUUCUCUCUUCACCUGCCAUAGCAAAGAAACAUCCCAGAAUCGACCCUUCUCCCAUUGAUCCAUGUCUCCCGUGUCACCAUGGGCAUGGCAUGUGAAGCAAUGUCCUGCAGAUGGAUUACCACCUUUUAUUUCUGCCAGCUAACAUCCUCCCAGCCUCCUGCCUACUACUGUAGACUCCGGUGUGACCCACCACUGGGGAGUUCACACCUAGAAAGAGAUGGAACUAAACUCUACUAUCAGCUGCUUCAAAAACCUUUUGUCUACGGCCUGGGAAGAUGUUCUCCAGCCCCUGAGCCUAUUGGUUGGAUAGAGAGAGACUGUGGUGGAAAUGAGGGUCUUGCUGGGAGGGGUCCAUGACUCCGGGGAAGACGCUUCUCAACGAGGGAUGUGUGGAAAGAAAACAGAAGUGAGAAAGAAGUUACCUUGUAUUAUGUAUUUUUACUACACUUUUCUUAAAAAUGGAGCAGUGGGAAAACUCUGAAAGAGAUUGACAUUUUUCUCAACAGGAAUCCAUACUUAACAGUUCUGGCUUUCAUUAAAUUUUGCUCUUUGGUACCUGGGCCUUUUAUUUAACAUAUAUAUUUAUUUUAACUCUCUUGGAAGAUGUGUGAGGGAAAAAAAUAACUCUCAUUUGAUCAGACACUAAAUAUUUGGGGUAGGGAUUUCUGUCUUAUUUUCAAAUAGCCAGGGUUUUUCUUCAUUUUUUUGGUAUUUGCAUAAAGUGAACAAUAUCACAAGAAUUAAAUCACUGUGGACCCAU